ensembl:lncRNA
AAAAGGAGAAGUAGUCAGUAUGAGGAAAUUAUUUUGAUGAAGAAAUAAAUAGAUGCAGUGAAAGUCUGUCCAGCAUGAAUCACAUGAUACACGUGUCAGUUUUUUGAAUGUUAAUUCCUAUUUUUGAAGCGUCAAACAAACAGUAUAUAAGCACUGAUCUUAGUGCUGUUUAGCACCUUCUCACUGGAAGGCUGAAGCUAUCGGUCGGUGCUGAAAUGAAAUCUACUCUACAAAUAUUCUACAUAUUCUCCAGAAGGUCUGCAACAAAAUCUGUUCUAUCCUAUUUUUUAAUGAUGUCUUGAUGUCUUCUGUUUUUCACAGAGAUAUUAAAGAUCACCAUGAGGCUGCUGACUGUGUUUGUGUUUCUUUGUGUAAUGGUCCCUCUGAUCAUUACUGCUCAAAAAUCGGGCAGCAGUGGGGCAGAGAAUAAUCCACAAGAAGAGCAAGCUGUUGACAAGAGGAUCCUGUGGCAUUGGCGCAAAACUUAUCGUUGCGUUAGAUGGCGAUGGGUAUGGAGAAAGCGAUGGGGGAAAGACGUGAACGAAUAAUAUAUAUACGCUCACCACUGAUACCGAUUUUGUCUGGCUCUGAAAAAGAAGAUGAUUCCUGGUCUUCCAUGAAAAUGGUCCAUCAGACAGAGAAGCAAAUACUUUCAUCCAACCCCCUGAACUAUCAGUUUCCCCUUUUACAUCUUUACUUAUUUUCUUUCGCUGUAUUGCUGCUGACCGUGUUUGUGUUUCUUUGUGUAAUGAUCCCUCUGAUCAUUACUGCUCAAAAAUCGGGCAGCAGUGGGGCAGAGAAUAAUCCACAAGAAGAGCAAGCUGUUGACAAGAGGAUCCUGUGGUAUUGGCGCAAAACUUAUCGUUGCGUUAAAUGGCGAUGGGUAUGGAGAAAGCGAUGGGGGAAAGACGUGAACGAAUAAUAUAUAUACGCUCACCACUGAUACCGAUUUUGUCUGGCUCUGAAAAAGAAGAUGAUUCCUGGUCUUCCAUGAAAAUGGUCCAUCAGACAGAGAAGCAAAUACUUUCAUCCAACUCCCUGAACUAUCAGUUUCCCCUUUUACAUCUUUACUUAUUUUCUUUCGCUGUAUUGCUGCAUAAAGAAUGAAGCAACAAGUGACACAAACUGGAGUCGACCGGACUGUCUCUUUUAAUAACAAAAACUAUUCAUUUCUGUUCUUAUUAUCUUCAUCAUUAAACUCUUAAGCAUUAAAUGAAAUUGGUCUCUGAGUCUUUGUCACAUGUCACCUUUUUUAUUGGUCUAAACCCAAACACCAAAUUUGUUUUUCAUCUAUCUUCGUUUUAAAAUACCUAAAUAGAAAAUAACAAGUCUGACCUGCUAAUAUCUGACUGAGCUCAAAGCAUUUACUAAGAUCCUAAACAAUAAC